rnacentral:rRNA from 1 species
GACGAACGCUGGCGGCGUGCUUAACACAUGCAAGUCGAACGGAAAGGCCCUGCUUUUGUGGGGUGCUCGAGUGGCGAACGGGUGAGUAACACGUGAGUAACCUGCCCUUGACUUUGGGAUAACUUCAGGAAACUGGGGCUAAUACCGGAUAGGAGCUCCUGCUGCAUGGUGGGGGUCGGAAAGUUUCGGCGGUUGGGGAUGGACUCGCGGCUUAUCAGCUUGUUGGUGGGGUAGUGGCUUACCAAGGCUUUGACGGGUAGCCGCCCUGAGAGGGUGACCGGCCACAUUGGGACUGAGAUACGGCCCAGACUCCUACGGGAGGCAGCAGUGGGGAAUAUUGCACAAUGGGCGGAAGCCUGAUGCAGCAACGCCGCGUGCGGGAUGACGGCCUUCGGGUUGUAAACCGCUUUCGCCUGUGACGAAGCGUGAGUGACGGUAAUGGGUAAAGAAGCACCGGCUAACUACGUGCCAGCAGCCGCGGUGAUACGUAGGGUGCGAGCGUUGUCCGGAUUUAUUGGGCGUAAAGGGCUCGUAGGUGGUUGAUCGCGUCGGAAGUGUAAUCUUGGGGCUUAACCCUGAGCGUGCUUUCGAUACGGGUUGACUUGAGGAAGGUAGGGGAGAAUGGAAUUCCUGGUGGAGCGGUGGAAUGCGCAGAUAUCAGGAGGAACACCAGUGGCGAAGGCGGUUCUCUGGGCCUUUCCUGACGCUGAGGAGCGAAAGCGUGGGGAGCGAACAGGCUUAGAUACCCUGGUAGUCCACGCUGUAAACGGUGGGUACUAGGUGUGGGGUCCAUUCCACGGGUUCCGUGCCGUAGCUAACGCUUUAAGUACCCCGCCUGGGGAGUACGGCCGCAAGGCUAAAACUCAAAGGAAUUGACGGGGCCCCGCACAAGCGGCGGAGCAUGCGGAUUAAUUCGAUGCAACGCGUAGAACCUUACCUGGGUUUGACAUGGAUCGGGAGCGCUCAGAGAUGGGUGUGCCUCUUUUGGGGUCGGUUCACAGGUGGUGCAUGGCUGUCGUCAGCUCGUGUCGUGAGAUGUUGGGUUAAGUCCCGCAACGAGCGCAACCCUUGUUCACUGUUGCCAGCACGUUAUGGUGGGGACUCAGUGGAGACCGCCGGGGUCAACUCGGAGGAAGGUGGGGAUGACGUCAAGUCAUCAUGCCCCUUAUGUCCAGGGCUUCACGCAUGCUACAAUGGCUGGUACAGAGAGUGGCGAGCCUGUGAGGGUGAGCGAAUCUCGGAAAGCCGGUCUCAGUUCGGAUUGGGGUAUGCAACUCGACCUCAUGAAGUCGGAGUCGCUAGUAAUCGCAGAUCAGCAACGCUGCGGUGAAUACGUUCCCGGGGCU